GACGAACGCUGGCGGCGCGCCUAACACAUGCAAGUCGAACGAGCGAGAGGAGGUUUACUUUCUCAAGCGAGUGGCGAACGGGUGAGUAACGCGUGAGGAACCUGCCUCAAAGAGGGGGACAACAGUUGGAAACGACUGCUAAUACCGCAUAAGCCCACGACCCGGCAUCGGGUAGAGGGAAAAGGAGCAAUCCGCUUUGAGAUGGCCUCGCGUCCGAUUAGCUAGUUGGUGAGGUAAUGGCCCACCAAGGCGACGAUCGGUAGCCGGACUGAGAGGUUGAACGGCCACGUUGGGACUGAGGCACGGCCCAGACUCCUACGGGAGGCAGCAGUGGGGAAUAUUGCACAAUGGGGGGAAACCCUGAUGCAGCGACGCCGCGUGGAGGAAGAAGGUCUUCGGAUUGUAAACUCCUGUUGUUGAGGAAGAUAAUGACGGUACUCAACAAGGAAGUGACGGCUAACUACGUG
rnacentral:rRNA from 1 species